rnacentral:misc_RNA from 1 species
CUUUUCUUUAGUUUCGGUCCAUAAAAUCCUUUCUUUUCUUGUUUUUCUUGCCUACAUUUUACCAAAACUAAAUUGUUUGUGAAUUAUGUAGGCUGAAUUGAGAGGAUUUUUUGUGAUAAUUUUGUCUCUGUCAAUGCACCAGCAUGAAGAACAAUUUGCACCAAACCAUGGCCAAUUAAUCUGUUGAUUUCAAACAGUCUGUAAUCAAAUCAAUGCUUUUUGCUGUUUGUUAAGCUUUGUGUGAUGUCAAAGUGAAUAUGCCAGCCUUAGACACAAAUCCAAAGUGUAGACAAUAUUUGCUUGGGACAGAGUUGCUGUCCUGUGCAGUUUGUAGGUAUGUGCCGAUUUGUGGCUCUUUGAAGGGAGAAGUCGCAUGACCUUUGUCAGUUGAGGAUUUUUAAUCUUUGAUCUGAUUGUUAUUGUGUAUUAUGUCAAUAAAUCGUAAUGC